UAGGGAAUCUUCGGCGAUGGACGAAAGUCUGACCGAGCAACGCCGCGUGAGUGAAGAAGGUUUUCGGAUCGUAAAACUCUGUUGUUAGAGAAGAACAAGGACGUUAGUAACUGAACGUCCCCUGACGGUAUCUAACCAGAAAGCCACGGCUAACUACGUGCCAGCAGCCGCGGUAAUACGUAGGUGGCAAGCGUUGUCCGGAUUUAUUGGGCGUAAAGCGAGCGCAGGCGGUUUCUUAAGUCUGAUGUGAAAGCCCCCGGCUCAACCGGGGAGGGUCAUUGGAAACUGGGAGACUUGAGUGCAGAAGAGGAGAGUGGAAUUCCAUGUGUAGCGGUGAAAUGCGUAGAUAUAUGGAGGAACACCAGUGGCGAAGGCGGCUCUCUGGUCUGUAACUGACGCUGAGGCUCGAAAGCGUGGGGAGCAAACAGG
rnacentral:rRNA from 1 species